rnacentral:lncRNA from 1 species
UUGAGUGAACCAUAUCCUUUCCCAUCAUGAUACACACCACAGAGGCUCUCCUCUUGAAGUGCUGCGUUCUGACUAAGUGACCAAGCACGUGACAUUCUGAACUUCAGCAAAGGUACAAUAAGCAUCCUCCUCUUGGAGUUACUGCACCCCUCCAAUUCUGAUCACCAUCUGUUCAACUUGUUGAAGAAGACAGCGCUCUUUUCUCUGCCCACUGAGCUGAAGG